rnacentral:rRNA from 1 species
GCCAGACUCCUACGGGAGGCAGCAGUGGGGAAUAUUGCACAAUGGGGGAAACCCUGAUGCAGCAACGCCGCGUGAGUGAAGAAGUAUUUCGGUAUGUAAAGCUCUAUCAGCAGGGAAGAAGAAGGACGGUACCUGACUAAGAAGCCCCGGCUAACUACGUGCCAGCAGCCGCGGUAAUACGUAGGGGGCGAGCGUUAUCCGGAUUUACUGGGUGUAAAGGGAGCGUAGACGGUUAAUCAAGUCUGAAGUGAAAGCCCGCGGCUCAACUGCGGAACGGCUUUGGAAACUGAGUAACUGGAGUGCUGGAGGGGCAGGCGGAAUUCCUGGUGUAGCGGUGAAAUGCGUAGAUAUCAGGAGGAACACCGGUGGCGAAGGCGGCCUGCUGGACAGUAACUGACGUUGAGGCUCGAAAGCGUGGGGAGCAAACAGGAUUAGAUACCCGGGUACAC